GUCUACCAACGAGAGGCACCGCUUGAGGCCAGAGCGGCCUCCCAUCCCUGGAGGUCCACGUUGGUCUCCGCGCCGGGGCGGGGGCCCAGGGACUGCUCCUGUGCGUUGGGGGCGCCACUUUAUCCGUGAGUUCCAGACCUGUAUAUCCAACUACCUACCAGAUAUGUCUGGGAUGUUUCACAAAUUCCCAAGGCUUAACAUGUUUAUUGAACUUAUUCUCUCCCCACCCCUCAAAAAAGAACAAAUGUUGUAUUCGAUUCUCUUUCCUGAAUUCCCUAUAUUGUUGAAUGGAAUCAACUACUUGGCCACCAAGUGGGAAACAUGGAGGAAAUCAUGAAUUCCUCAUUUUUUUCUCAUUCUUGAUUUCAAGUUUACUACCAAGCCUUGUUGAUUCUCCUAUCAAAUAUCUUCCAAAUCUAUAUAUCCUCUUCCCAUUCCAAUCCAGACUCUUGUCAUUUCUUUUUUUCACUCAGAGAAGACUACAGUAGUCCCCUAAUUGUUCCCUGAUCUCAUCUCUCUCUGGUCUUGGCUGUUCUACAAGUGACCUGAAAAGGGAAACACUGAUCAAAUUUCACUGGUUUGAAACCUAUCAAUGGUUUUCCACUGCUGUGAGUUUGAUCUCUGGCCUAUGUGAGGAUGGCCUAAGGUCUGAGCCUAAGCAACUCCAUUUUAAAAACUCCAGUUUGAAAACUGCAGUCUCACCAUGCAUGCCUAAUGGAGAGACCACCAGUAUGGCCCUCAGGCACAAACAAGUCACUUCUCCCCACCCUGAUAAACUCAGAUUGAAGCCUCUGGCAGGCUGUUCAUGCCUGCCCAGGGAAAAGCACCCCAAAAGAGAGAAAGGCGAAAAGAUCAGGGUGGGAUCCACUACACCAGAUGGUUUAACCCCAGAGUAAAUGAUGUCACUGAGAAAUGGUGGCAGCUGGUAAGGAUUAAAAGGGGGACAAAAGCUCCAAAUUUGGUAUAAAUAACAGAGCAAAUGAACAGAUAUUCAGCCAGCCAACACUGAUGCCCUCACGCUGAGAGCCUGAUGAGGACCUGGACUGGCAUCUCAACACUUUUUAUUGUUGCUGAUCCUCUGCAUCUUCCUCACCACUCUUAAACUCUAUAGCCACAUCUUGACCCUGGUGACAGUCACAACUUCUCCCUAUGACCCUCUCCUCAACCAGCCAUCAGCUCCACCUCAGGAGAAGCCUGCCUUGGUUCCUGACCCGAUCACUCCAAUCUGAGUGAGUGUGCAUCUGCUGGACUUAAAGCCUAAGGCUUGAGACUUUUGAUCUGACACGCAGAGGGAAUGUGUGUCAUUAGCCUGUCAUAAUUAAGUGUUUGCAGUGUUUAGAAUUAAUCUAGAAUGGUUUGCUGGGAAUCAAUCUAGAAUUGUUUGCUGUGAAUUGAUUAUGUUGUUGCAGUGUCUAACAUUAAGGGUUGUCGUUUUCUCGAUUAAGAACCUAUAGAGUGAAAUUGUAUUGAGUGAUUUGAGUGAAUAAAGCAUUGACUAGGGCACAA